UGGGGAAUAUUGGACAAUGGGCGAAAGCCUGAUCCAGCAAUGCCGCGUGUGUGAAGAAGGUCUUCGGAUUGUAAAGCACUUUCGACGGGGACGAUGAUGACGGUACCCGUAGAAGAAGCCCCGGCUAACUUCGUGCCAGCAGCCGCGGUAAUACGAAGGGGGCUAGCGUUGCUCGGAAUGACUGGGCGUAAAGGGCGCGUAGGCGGAUGACACAGUCAGAUGUGAAAUUCCCGGGCUUAACCUGGGGGCUGCAUUUGAUACGUGUUGUCUAGAGUGAGGAAGAGGGUUGUGGAAUUCCCAGUGUAGAGGUGAAAUUCGUAGAUAUUGGGAAGAACACCGGUGGCGAAGGCGGCAACCUGGUCCUUGACUGACGCUGAGGCGCGAAAGCGUGGGGAGCAAACAGGAUUAGAUACCCCCGUAGUCC
rnacentral:rRNA from 1 species